rnacentral:rRNA from 1 species
UUGGAGGGCAAGUCUGGUGCCAGCAGCCGCGGUAAUUCCAGCUCCAAUAGCGUAUAUUAAAGUUGUUGCAGUUAAAAAGCUCGUAGUUGAAUUUCGGGGUCAGUAGGUUGGUCGUGCCAAUGGUAUGUACUGGCUUUACUGAUUCCUCCUUCUUGAAGAACUGUAAUGUCAUUAAUUUGGUGUUGCAGGGAAACAGGACUGUUACUUUGAAAAAAUUAGAGUGUUUAAAGCAGGCUAACGCUUAAAUACAUUAGCAUGGAAUAAUGAAAUAGGACGUUCGAUCCUAUUUUGUUGGUUUCUAGGAUUGACGUAAUGAUUAAUAGGGAUAGUUGGGGGCAUUAGUAUUCAAUUGUCAGAGGUGAAAUUCUUGGAUUUAUUGAAGACUAACUACUGCGAAAGCAUUUGCCAAGGAUGUUUUCAUUAAUCAAGAACGAAAGUUAGGGGAUCGAAGACGAUCAGAUACCGUCGUAGUCUUGACCAUAAACUAUGCCGACUAGGGAUCGGAUGAUGUUAAUUUUUUAAUGACUCAUUCGGCGCCUUACGGGAAAC